GGUCACUUCACUUUGGUUGGUUAUCGAACCGAACCAAACAAAGUGAGAACUGAGAACCACCGAAUAGUAUAUAGUAUUCGAUUUUAGAAACACAGAAUCAUAAAACCCGAAGAUCACUCAAAUUAAAGGUUUGGAUUAGGGUUUUAUCGCAGAUUGAAUAAUCAUGAAAUUUCAGUUUACUGUAAAGAAAGAAAGGUUUGUGAUGGCGAAUUAUGCUGAUGGUGUUUAUUCUUCUGCAGAAUGUAUUCGGGUCAGAGCAAUUGGUUCUUUCAGAUCGCUGGUGUUGCCAAGGAUGGUAGAGUGAAGAGACUAAAGGAUUCCACUAAGAAGUGGAAAGAUGGGAAGGCGAAGAAAAAGACCGCACCAAAAACGAUUUCGAAACCCGCUAAUAAACUGUUCGUUUGUUGCAUGGGGCUGAUAGUUGUUAUUUUCUUCCUUGUUCUUUACUGUUAUCUUGUAAUGCUUGAAUCACAAAUGUAGUUCAGCGUAGGAUUUUGUAUAUAGUUUUGUGGAUUUUUUAGUUUAGAAGGCCAAAAAGAUUGAUUACAAUGAACAGCAACCUAAUGGGGUUCCUGUUCUUUUGAUUCCUGGAAAUGGUGGCAUGCUCUUCCUUAUUCUGUUGUUUUACUUUAUAUUUUUGCUUGUUGUUCAGUUUACAGUAUUCUAUGGGUUAUUGAGAAUGUUAAAAAUGUGGAAUAUGCAGUGUGUUUUUUGUAUAUAAGUGGAAUAUGCAAUGUCUGCUGUAGCAUUGGUCACUUGUGGAUAGACACACUUUUAUAUUUAUCACAGGGUUAUGUUUUCUUUCAUAUGGUAAGAUCUUUGGCCGCAGAAUAUUAUAGGCAAUAUCAAGCAGGUACACUUCUGUCUCUGGUAGUGAUUACCGGUUUUGUUUAAAUGCAACUAUUCGAGGAGCUUCUGACCAGGCACAAAUCCAGAGUUGCAAGAUUUCUUUCAAAGAAUAUGAUUGGGCAAGUUCUGCGAUGGUAACCAAUUGUGACUUUAUGUUGUUUCUACUUUAAGUAUAGCUGCAAUGACUUGUUCUUAUUGCAUAUGUGUGCAGUUGCUGUGAUACAUUGAAUCUCUUCCUGUUUAUUUCCUUGUCUCUGGAAUGCCGUGAAAGGAAGAAAUUUAACUUGCUUACAGUUGUAUAUGCAAAAAGUCCAGGUACUUGUGAAAAGACUGCGACAGAUUUAAAGCAGAAGGCGUCCGAUAUCAAGGUCUGCCAGAGUUUUCUAUAAUAAGCAACGCAUUGGUCGGUGCUUCAGCAUCUGUAUCCAAUUGACAUGAACUUCUCUGCAUUCUAUGUGCUUUUUUUCCUUUCCUUGGUAUUAGAAUGCCCUAUCGAAAACCUUUUGAGGUGAGCAAAACUUGUACUAUUUAAUAAGGCAGAACUGCAAAGAACAAGGUCAUUUUUUUCUCGAGUCAAAUGUGUGUUAUUGACUAAUGAAAUUAAAAUGCCAUGAUUUUGUUCUCGUGCGAGCUUAAUUAUGUGCCUAUAUAGGUGAAUGAAAAGAAAGGCCUUUUAAAGGAAUCCUGUUGUUAUAUUUUGUCAGUAUUAUAUCAGGCAUGUUCUUCAUAAAAGCACCUAAUGAUAUUAAACUUAAUUUUGUAAUUGCAUGCUGAUCUUCUUGUUUCUUUGCAGCGGCUCUUGCACAUAUUAUUUUGAAUGAGAAAGUACAUAUUUUUGGAAUUCUUGGUUGUGUUCUUUGUGUUGUGGGUUCUACAACUAUUGUUUUGCAUGCUCCUCUAGAACGUGAAUUUGAAUCUGUGAAAGAAGUUUGGGAUUUUGCUACUGAAUCUGCUUUUCUUUUCUAUGCGGCUCUGGUCAUAACAACUGUCUUUAGACUGAUAUUUCAAUAUAUCCCUGAUUAUGGCCAGACACAUAUAAUGGUUUACAUGGAGGGUUUUGUUCUCUUUUCGGUUUUUUAUUGUAUGUAUUGUUAUUGAACUUUUUCUUCAUUUUGCCUCUUUUGUGUUCCUUUCUUACAAUAUUUGUUUAAUCUUUCUUGUUUGGUAGGUCAUGAGUGUUAUAGCACUUGGAAUUGCAAUAAAGUUGACAUUGUUGGGAUUGAAUCAUGCUUUUUCUUUUUGCUUAUCUAUUUUGAUCAUUUGCAACCUUAAUUGAAAGGAAAAAAAAGAAAAUUUUACGUUCUUCAGUAUGUUGGUACAUAGAAUUCACCCAUGUUCUUGCAAUAUGUUGAUAUCCUGUGCUUCAUUAUACCUGCAGGGCAUUCUGAAACUCUGACUUUUGAUAUAUUCAAAGUGGAAUGGUCGUCGCCUUUGCUUCAUUCCCGUUUUCUAUCAUGCCUAACAAGCUUAGCUGUAAAGUCUGAUGCAACAUUUUAUAAUCAGUUGUUUUAGAGUCGGUCUAUGCUCGUUAUCCCAAAUGUAAAUACGCAUUGAAUUCUCUGUCGAAAUAAAAUAAAAUGGUUUACAUGGGGGUUUGUUCUCUUGUCGGUUUUUCAUUGGUCAUGAGUGUUGAGAAGCACUUGGAAUUGCAAUAAAGUUGACGUUAUCGGGAUUGAAUAAGCUAGUAUGUCCCGAAACUUGGGCAUUUGCUUUAGUUGUAAUUACUUGUGGGGCUACAUUAUGGAUCAUUUGACCAAGAUGGUAUGGACAAGAAUAAAGACCAGAGGAUUGCAUCCAUUUGCAUCCAUCUCCUAGUGCUGGUUGCUGUGGAGUGUUGGGUGGAACUAAAUGGUAGGUAGCAGGAGGCGGGAGAAGUAAAAAACCCCGAAAAAUGGCAUUCUAGGAGAGAAGAGGGCUUCAUUCAAUGGAAUGCUUUAGCAACUUUUGAUAUAUUGAAAGUGGAAUGGUCUGUCGCCUUUGCUUCAUUCCUGUCCUGUAUCCCGCCUUACAAGAUUAGCCGUAAUGUCUGAUGCAACAUUUUAUAGUCGGUUGUUUAGAGUCGGUCUAUGCUCGUUAUCCAAAAUGUAAAUACGUAUUGAAUUCUAUGCACGCGUUAUUAAUGUGCGUGAUCUUAAUAUAUAUGCUAUGUAUUAUGAUUUGUUUUAUUGAUGCUCGUCUGUUUUGCUUUCAGGGUCUAACUGUUCUGCCAUUUAGAAUUGCAUAAUCUCAUGAGUGUUCAAUAUCAAGCUUUCCUUUCUUGUCUUUUGGUAUUGCUAAUUAUGAGAUUUAAGACCUUUUAGUAGUUGUUUUUUGGUUCAA